rnacentral:rRNA from 1 species
CGCAAUGGGCGAAAGCCUGACGGAGCAACGCCGCGUGAGGGACGAAGGCCUCUGGGCUGUAAACCUCUUUUCUCAAGGAAGAAGAUAUGACGGUACUUGAGGGAUAAGCCACGGCUAAUUCCGUGCCAGCAGCCGCGGUAAUACGGGAGUGGCAAGCGUUAUCCGGAAUUAUUGGGCGUAAAGCGUCCGCAGGCGGCUUUUCAAGUCUGCUGUUAAAGCGUGGAGCUUAACUCCAUCAUGGCAGUGGAAACUGAAAGGCUUGAGUAUGGUAGGGGCAGAGGGAAUUCCCGGUGUAGCGGUGAAAUGCGUAGAUAUCGGGAAGAACACCAGUGGCGAAGGCGCUCUGCUGGGCCAUUACUGACGCUCAUGGACGAAAGCCAGGGGAGCGAAAGGGAUUAGAUACCCCUGUAGUCCUGGCCGU